ensembl:lncRNA
GAAAACUCCUUAUUAACAUAAUUUUUAGGGCUGGACCCGAAUAUUCGAAUAUUCGUUCGGUGGGUUGGUAUUCAAUUUGAAAAUUUGACAUUUGAAUAUUGUUUUGUUCUUUUUUUUUUUUUUUUUUUCGGACCUGGUAUCCCCCGCGAAACUGUUCUCAUUCGCGCUUGAAUAAGGCCGAGGACACACUAGCUGCUUGGCAUGAGCUUCUCAGCUGCGUGGCGUGUCCGUUUUUAUUUCGGCUCCCAUGUUAACAGGUUGGGACUUUGCUCACUGCCUGCGUGAGACACACAAUGACUUCUUUUUAAAAUAAUUUAUUUUUUUAUGAUAUUGUGAUUGCAUGAAUGAACAAGAGCAGCAUUUACUUAACUUCUUAGCCUAGUAGUUAUUCAUAUUGUAAUAUGUAUUUUGGUGAUCUAUUAUUUUUUUAUUUGUUCUUCUCUUUCUCUGCAGGUUCCUUAAUCCCUGUCCUUUUAAAAAAACAGCACCUCAUUACAUCGAAAAAAAGGCACUUUUAAGAGCCACAUUUGUCUUGUAUCUUGUUACUCUCUCUACUGUUGUAUUGUGUUCUCUCUCUCUUGCUGUCUUACUGUCUCUCCCUCCCCUCUGAGUGGGGUUUUUGUUUGUUUGUUUUGUCUUUUUUGUCCCUGUGUGUUUAUAGUGUGUUUAUAUUUUGUGCCAUGUCUGAUCCUGAGAUGGACCGUCUCCUUAAUGAGAUGAGUGACCUUGUCGAUCAGGCUGAACAUCAAGCUCACCUCCAACAGCUCAUUAGCAUGCACCAGGAAGCAGAACCAUCCACCAGUCAGCCUUCCACCAGUAAUCCAUCCACCAGCCGGCCAUCAAACAGCAAGCAAGAUGUUAGGUGGAUUAAGAGGGACAGUGAUGGAAACAUUAUUUACGGCAGGCCCAGAUCAUCCCGGAAACAAGCAGUUACAUUUUUUUUACAUUAAUGUUAAUUAAAAUGUAGACUCCAGAUCUAGUUUUGCAUCUUGAUAUGGUAUACAACAUGAUCAUAAGUCAUGGGUCUGAAUUAGAACAUAUCUGAGGUUAUUAUUACGUACCUGUACCUAGCAUCAGGUAAAGUUUGUGUCAUUGAGUGUAAAAAGCAACAGCUUUUUUGCUACAGCAGGUCCCAGUCACAGCCAGAGUCGAAAGACUGGUGUCUAUCAUAUCAGGGCUCCUGAAACCAGUGCGGAAAUGACCAGUGACUUUCCUUCCAUUACUGCAGAGUCCUUCCUUCAAGAGCUUAAAAGCUCGCUGUUUGAGGACAUACAUGAGGAUGAAACAGCACUUCAAGCCUCAACAGACUGGUUGACCCGAAGGAGCCUCAUAUCAGGGUGGUGGGAGAAAGAGAGACCCCGACUGGUCAACACCAUGGUGCCUCGACAACAUGCGGCAACUCGGAUCUGCCAACAUUGUGGAAAUGGUUCAGCCGUAAUCCGUUGUUGUGACUGCCGACCACACCCAUUCCUCUGUGGCCAGUGUGAUGUCAGGGUCCACCGAGGUCAGUUGUUCCACAACAGGGAUUCGAUGACACAUGCAUUCUUUCAUCCAUUGCCUCCCACAACUUGUGUUGUGGAGAGGGUUCUAACCCAGUGUGGUAAGCUGUAGUUUUCUUAGACUUGACUGAAAAACUGAUAGGUCGAUGAAGCCGUCAAGUACAUCUUGUUUAAAAUAGUUGCCAGUAAAUAAAUGUUAUUCUUUAAUGCUUAUCCAUGUGUUUUUUUUUUUUUUUUGAGCGUCUUGUCCCUUUAGAGAUGCCAGAGACAAUAUGCGGUUGUCGACGAGUAUCGUCCAGUGUCAUCGCAGGACAGUCCAUAGUUGUGGUUACAAUGAAUGGGCGAUAUGAUCUCAGAUUGCCUCAGAUUAGAUGCAAAGCAUGUGAAGCCACUUGGAGUCCUGGAGUGGAUGACCUGAUCCGUAAUGACUACUGGCCUGCCACUUCUCACUAUUCAACUGUGUAUGCAACAGAUGUCCUUUUUUCUUUUGAAGAGCUGAAGAUGGCAGCACCAGGGAUGUCUAGCCAAGCAUUUCUUAGAAUGCUGGAUCAACGCACUGUUCGCUUUGGCCGUAGCGGAAACAUCACAGCAGACAGCUUCCGGAAAAGCUUCUUGGAGUGGGAAGCUGUCCAAUUCGAAGUGGACAAAUUAUGUCAGGAGGACCACUUUGACUGCCCAGCAUGCAGCCCAGACAUGCUUGAAGUAUCCGUUGAUGGAAACCAUCGGAGGAAAAAGCCAUCUUUGAUGGCGUGUUCAUCGCGAAUGAUGAUGAUGUCGCAAGAUUCGUGGACCAUGUCCAUACCUCAACCAGUCAUGUCUCUGAAAGAGGUGUCUGUGGAGGGCAAUGGUCAGCGGUGCAUGAAACGUCUCAGAAGUCCUCAGGAAAAACAGACUAGGAGGGCCUGGAACUCGCUGUAUGUCGUCAUGGGGUUCUCUUUCCUGCCCUCAAUAUGUUCAGGGGGGAGAUUUUUGCCUACCCCCUGUACCUCCAAAAGCAAAUUAAGUUAAUUUUUUUGCAAUGGAUGUGGCAUCUCAUGAUUUCAAAUGUGAGGUAAAAUGGAGUGGAGCAUAUCAGGAGGGGGUUGGUUCGACUCUUGGGGAAGAGGUGGAGCAGUGCAACGCCUUCCUCUCGAGGACUGCUGUUACGACAAAGCACAUGUCAAAAGCAGGAUACAUAGACAUGCUGACGAUCAUGGCCAUGCGCUGGAACCAACAAAAGUUUGACAACUUGGCUUCUACCCUUGCCCGCCGAUAUCGGAAGGCCACAAUAGCCCUGCAAUGCCAGUUGCAUAACCUGGAGGCCAUGAAAACGGAAAUGGACGUCUCAGACAAUCAACUGGAGAGAUGGAUCAUUGAUAUCAAUGAGUGGGCAGAAGCAACAACAUCCCCAAAUAAUGCUGAUGUUGCCGCUGUUGCCAGCCGAAUUGAGGAGCUGGUGGCAAGUGUUAAGAGGAGGUCCCAGCAUUUUUACCAGGAUAGUGACGGAUGCAAAGGACGUGCCCGAAUCCGCCGAAAGAUCAGGGAGGAAAAAAAAUCUUAAAUUCUGUAAUGGAAAAGUAUAACACCUUGGUUCCUAAUGCAGAAAAACUGACAUUGGACACCAUUCUAUCUGACGAGAUUGUUUGGCCAUGGCAGCUUACACAUGGUGACUCUGUAGAUCUAAGGACAAAGUGGAAGGCGUUCGACAUUGUGAUGGCAGUAAGGAGACUUGAGGAGGAGACGAGGAUUCUUAUUGCAGAGAUGAACAAGCAUUGGAAGUCUUUUUGCACCCGUGCAGACACCCUGAAGCAGAUGUCUUCCCACCUUUCUAAUGUGACAUCAGACGUGGGGCCUGCUUCAAGAUGGUAUCCGAGGUCUACAGAGCUUGAUGAUGAAGAACAAGCAAGCAAGCAACAGCCUGGCAAAGCAUGCAAAGAAAUGUUAUGUUCAAGUUCUGACUGAAACAGAAAUUAACUUUGAUAGUGAUUCUGAGGAAUACCAUACCAGUAGUGACUCUGAGCAAGAUUAAACAUGGCCAGAGUCCUUUUUUAUGCUGUUGUGUGCUGGGGAGGCAGCAUUAAGAAGAGGGCCGCUGGGACAGGUUGGUAAGGAAAGCUGGCUCUGUGUUUGGCAUGGAGCUGGAGUUAAUCAUUUAACAAACUGAGGAUAAUUUGCAGUAGCAGUCUUCUGUCAUGCUCAACACUGAAGAGGUCCUUUGUCCCCAGGGCAAACCAGCAACUCAAUGUCACAGAAAAGGUUAGGGGAGAAAUUGACUUUUCAGCAUGAGUCUCACCCUGCGCCAACCAUUACAUCACUUUGUCUAUUGUCUAGUAUCCACUAUCCAUUUGACUGUCUUACACAGUCAAAUGGACAUUAGCCCCUCUACACAUUCUGGACUGUGGUUUCAACAUUUACCCCGUUGGC